rnacentral:rRNA from 1 species
AAUGAACGCUGGCGGCGCGCCUAAUACAUGCAAGUCGAGCGAGAAGACGUAGCAAUACGUUUGUAAAGCGGCGAACGGGUGAGGAAUACAUGGGUAACCUACCCUAGAGUGGGGAAUAACUAGCCGAAAGGUUAGCUAAUACCGCGUACGCUCCUUGGACUUCGGUUCAGGGAGGAAAGCGAUGCCGAGGGUAUCGCGCUCUUGGAUGGGCUCAUGUCCUAUCAGCUUGNGGUGAGGUAACGGCUCACCAAGGCUUCGACGGGUAGCUGGUCUGAGAGGACGAUCAGCCACACUGGCACUGCGACACGGGCCAGACUCCUACGGGAGGCAGCAGUAAGGAAUAUUGCGCAAUGGGCGAAAGCCUGACGCAGCGACGCCGCGUGCGGGAUGAAGGCC